CUGGUUUGAGGCAGGAUCUCAUGUAGCUCAGUUCCUUUCCAACUUCCAACCCCAACCCCCACCCCAUCCCAUCCAGAUCCACUCCUUUUCUGCCUCUUGUUAGAAAAGCAAAGGCCUGUAAGGGACAAUAAUAACACAUAAAGAGCUGGACAAAGCAAACCAACAGAAGGGAAAGAGCCCAAGAGAAGGCCCGAGAAUCAGAGAUCCGCUCAUUCACGCACUUAGGAGUCCCACGAAACCUCUCAACUGGGAGCUACAAUAACCAGCAGAGGACCCGGUGCAGACCUGCGCUUGCUGCCUGUCUGAGUUUGUGUGAGCUUUGAGCAUGUUGAUCUAGAGGGCCUGUGUCCUCCAUACCCUCGGGCCUUUGGGCCCUUUCAGCCCCCUUUCCCACGGGGUUCCCUGGGCCGAGGGGAGGGGUUUGAGGGAGACUUCCUGUUUAGGGCUGCGUAUUCCAGAGUGUUUCACUCUGCACGGUGUCUGGCUGUGGGUCUCUGUUCCUAUCUGCUGCAGGAAGAAGCGGUUUUGAUGAUGGCUGAGCAAGGCACCGAUCUAGGAGUAUAGCCGAGUGUCAUUAGUCUUUUUAUAAUAUUUUUUGAGAUAGGGUUUCUCUGUGUAGCAUUGCCUGUCCUGAAACUCUGUAAACCAGGCUGGCCUUGAGCUCAGAGAGUAGCCUGCUACUGAGAGUAGGGGUGAAGGUUUAUCUAGGCAACAGCUCAACUUCUCCCUGUUCAAUGGAGUUAUGUCAAUGUGGUCUUCAGCAAUGGGUCCUUCCCAUCAGUUUGUGGAGAAGAAACUGUAGUCUUGGCAACAGCCGGAAUUGUUUGGGAAUUCCCAUGGGACCCCUUUGGCCAACAGCUUAAUUAGAUGUAACACCAAUACUGGGAGUUUCAUUUGGUGGAGAGAGCCAGCUGGGGCUGUCUCCCCCAUUAUUUGAUUUCCUUUAGAUAACUUUCAUAUAUGUAUAUAUUUAAGCUCCUACUGUAUUGUUUCUAUACAACUCUUCAAAUGGCUCUUAAUUUAGCUCCUCUCCCGACUCCACUUGAUGCUUCUGUUCCAGCCCCUUACCCAAUCCAUUCAUAACUAUGUAUCCUAUUUCCCUUCCCAAUGAUAUCUGUCCCCAACCCUUUCCCUUACUGUAUAUCUAACUUCUGUGGUUCUUAGGAUUGCAGCUUGGUUAUUGACUAAAGCUAAUCCCACAUAUACCACUUGGCUUUUAUCACAUUUCACCCUCACAUCCUAGGGGUGGGCACUGCUACUCCCCCACAUUACAGGAGACAUAUAUGUAGUUACAUGUUUUGUUCUGGUGCUGUGAAGUGAGGAGGGCACUGAAAGUGGGCAUCCUUGGGUGGCAGCUCUUAGCUAAAGCAGGGAUGGGGAAAAGAUUCUACUUAGUCCUACAAAAUGUCAAGGCCAAGCCUUGGGGUCUACGGGAGGUCAAAACAAGGUAGAGUCAAACAGAAAAAAGCUGAAUCCUGAGGCGUUCUGGAACUUCCUACAACAUGUACCCAGAAACCAUCUGAACUCGGGAUGGAGGUGGUCUCAGAAAAGGCUGAAAUACAGAAAACAAAAGCAGCCAGAGGAUCAUGCCGGAUAGGACUUAGCUCUCAGAAGCAGAAGCAGCAGGCCCCGUUUUGUCCUCCAGAGGGCACUUGAUACUAGAAAAUGAAGCUAAAUGAAGCUUGGAAAGUACUGCCUCAAAUUACACAACCUUAAGAUCAGUGAAAUUAAAAUUUAAUGCCACUUCAGAAAGGAUAUAAAAAUCUCACAAGCCCAAGUAUGUUAAUAUUGAAAUUUUGUAAGGAAAUAAGUUACUUGGAAAAACUACUCAAUGUCCAUUCUGUGGCUGAAUGUUAUUACUAAAAAAUCACUCAAUGGAGCAGAGUGCAAGGAACCAAGGCUAUCUCUGUUAUUGCUGUCACCUGGACAGAGAAGUUAGGGGCAACUAGCAUCAUGGAGGGGUCCAACUGCAAGCACUCCAGAACUUCUGUUAAAACCUAUCUUCUUAGCAGUCUGCCUCCUUCCUAUCCCUACCCCCAUCCCAUGAUCUUUUGGCCAUAGCAAGGAUGCUUAGAGACCAGUUGCCGCUUCACUAAAGACUUGGGAUGGGAAGGGAAGAGCGAGUGCCCACAUGUGGAAGCCUGCAGCAGGCCUUGGCAUUUGCACUCCACCACUAUACUACCUUCCCCAGGCCUAGUCCAGCUUGAGUCAGAAAAGGAAUAUAGCAUUUUUAUUAACUACUUUAAGUAGAACAAACUAAAUACAUAUUUAACAGUUUUGGUUCAUUUAUACAGUACAUUAAAUAAGUUAUGCACAGAGUUAAGUAACAAAAGUUCCUAUUGAGUCAAAUGACAAAGCACAGAAAAACCAGACUCAAAUGCAUCCUGCCGGUGGCUUCACAUUCAUCUGCUGCCUCUGCAAACCAUGCUUGCAGGAUUGGCUUUUAUUUACAUUAUUGGUUUUCUGUAGGGAUGGAGCCGUUGUAGCCUCAUCAGGAACUUGGAAAGCCACAGGAGUGGAAUGAAGGCCUUAUAUCAAACAGCCCUUUAACCAUUCGCUGGAUUGUUACAGCUUCUUCCAGGCAACUCCAAGCCAGGGACUAGGCUGUCCCUGACUGCAGCUGCACAUGCCCUUUUUGGCAUAAGCACUGACAGUUUACACUGGGCAGCAGGAGGUCUGACAAGACGGGGUCUAAGCGGAAGUACCGCCUCUUGGGCUGUGGAAGGGAAGAUGGUGAAAUUAUCACCCACCAUCUCGGCUUCCUCCUGGCUCACACUUGCUCCAUCAUCUUUGGAAAUGGGUGUCAACAUGAGGCAGAAGCAGGCAGUCAGCAUUUUGGCUUUAAAGGAAUAUAUUUGAGUGGCCAGGCUCUGCUAAGCAGCUGCUGGAUCAAGGAUCUUCCACAGCUGGCCAUCUGGCUCACAAUGGCCAGCUCAGUUCCUUCUGGCUUUUCUCACAUUUGGUUCAAACAUGCCACCACCCAGUUCUCUGCAAACAGCUAACACUCAUCAAAGUACACUGGCUUAGUCUCCUGAGCCAGGAGCCUGGAGACCUUGGUUCCAGUCCAGUUCUGAAGUAAGCCUCCAGGAUGUGUCCUAUUUGUAAAGGUUUAUCCAACCCACAAUCCUGUCUGCAGUUUCCAGAACGAAGGCCAUCUGCUCAUUCCUUAUGCUCCAGGAGAACCACUAACACACACUUGCAGUUGUGUGGAGGCCUCACACACCUGCUGAGAUCCAGAACCACUCAGAAAAAAUGUCUUCACUAUGAGGUGACAAGAAUUCGUACACUUCCGCUCUGGAAGCUAAAGAUGGUAAAGUUGACAUCAAGAUGUGAAGAAGCACUUCCUGGGGGUCAAAUGGAUAAAGGAGUCCACAUUACAGAAGACUGACAGCCAAUGCCUGGAUAGACUCGGGGGGCAGACAGCUUGUUCCAUGCAGAUCCAAGCAACACAUAACUUUGUACCUCAGGAACAGCCAUUCAGCCUGUGCCCUCACCACCACCUACCUCCCUGCAUGAGUCAAUCUGAAGGAGCUGCAGGGACCCCUUCAGUGAGUCUUUUUGUGGGAUAGGUCUAAAGUAACUCAGGCUGGUCUCAACUUGCUAAGCAGCUAUGGAUAAUCUUAAACUUCUGGUCCUUCUGCUUCGACCUCCCACGUUUUAGGAUCAUAGGUAUGCACCACCAUGGCUGGGUUAUGUCACACUGGGAAUCAAAUCCAUGCUAGCCAUGCUAUCAAAUAAGUCACACGCCAACCUAGCUUUGUCAAGUCUUCAUUCGCUGGAGUGAGAAACAGUGCAUGACUCCCAGUUUGGCUACUUUUGUUAUCUAGUUUCUGUAAUUUUAUCCCUCACUUGGUAUUGGAUGGCCAAGCCCUGACCACUUUUGUUCCCCAAGUAGUUACUGCAGAGGCCAGCCUCCUGAGCAGCCUGAAACUUUGUGUUCACUCCCAGCUGUGUGGCAGAGGGUCAUAUAAGCGGACUAGAAAUAUAGUGGGGAGCCAGGAUUCACUUCUAACUCCAGCUCCUCAGAUGCUGCUCCUGCUCCUGCCUAGGGAGGAGUUAGAGAACUGCCAAAAGAACAACUUACAUUGGAAAGCCAAGUCCUAAGCAGAUGCCACUUGAGAGUGAUGCUGACUGCGAAAGUGGCAAGCCUGGGACCUGAACCAUGUAAUGUAAAUAAAGUACUGCCCAGGUCUGUAGACAAACCAGGCAGGACACAGAAGCCAGGUAGUCCCCAACAGCACUAUAGAAAUUUGGAAUCUAUCAGGCUAACCACAUAGCUAAGCUGGAUUUUGUAUCCCAAACCUUUGCUAUAUAAACCAAUCUCCAACCUGGUAA
rnacentral:sRNA from 1 species